rnacentral:rRNA from 1 species
GACGAACGCUGGCGGCGUGCUUAACACAUGCAAGUCGAACGGAAAGGCCCUGCUUUUGUGGGGUGCUCGAGUGGCGAACGGGUGAGUAACACGUGAGUAACCUGCCCUUGACUUUGGGAUAACUUCAGGAAACUGGGGCUAAUACCGGAUAGGAGCUCCUGCUGCAUGGUGGGGGUUGGAAAGUUUCGGCGGUUGGGGAUGGACUCGCGGCUUAUCAGCUUGUUGGUGGGGUAGUGGCUUACCAAGGCUUUGACGGGUAGCCGGCCUGAGAGGGUGACCGGCCACAUUGGGACUGAGAUACGGCCCAGACUCCUACGGGAGGCAGCAGUGGGGAAUAUUGCACAAUGGGCGGAAGCCUGAUGCAGAAACGCCGCGUGCGGGAUGACGGCCUUCGGGGUGUAAACCGAUUUCGCCUGUGACGAAGCGUGAGUGACGGUAAUGGGUAAAGAAGCACCGGCUAACUACGUG